rnacentral:rRNA from 1 species
GCUGGCGGCAUGCUUUACACAUGCAAGUCGAACGGCAGCGCGGACUUCGGUCUGGCGGCGAGUGGCGAACGGGUGAGUAAUAUAUCGGAACGUACCCAAGAGUGGGGGAUAACGUAGCGAAAGUUACGCUAAUACCGCAUACGAUCUAUGGAUGAAAGUGGGGGAUCGCAAGACCUCAUGCUCCUGGAGCGGCCGAUAUCUGAUUAGCUAGUUGGUGAGGUAAAGGCUCACCAAGGCGACGAUCAGUAGCUGGUCUGAGAGGACGACCAGCCACACUGGAACUGAGACACGGUCCAGACUCCUACGGGAGGCAGCAGUGGGGAAUUUUGGACAAUGGGCGCAAGCCUGAUCCAGCAAUGCCGCGUGAGUGAAGAAGGCCUUCGGGUUGUAAAGCUCUUUUGUCAGGGAAGAAACGGUAGGGGCUAAUAUCCUUUGCUAAUGACGGUACCUGAAGAAUAAGCACCGGCU